CUACGGGUUGCACCAGUAGGGAAUAUUGGACAAUGGGCGAAAGCCUGAUCCAGCAACGCCGCGUGUGCGAUGACGGCCUUCGGGUUGUAAAGCACUUUUAGAGGAGAUGAGAAAGGACAGUAUCCUCAGAAUAAGCCUCGGCGAACUACGUGCCAGCAGCCGCGGUAAAACGUAGGAGGCAAGCGUUAUCCGGAUUUAUUGGGCGUAAAGCGCGUGCAGGCGGUCUAGCAAGUUGGAUGUGAAAGCUCCCGGCUUAACCGGGAGAGGUCGUUCAAUACUGUUAGACUAGAGAAUGGGAGAGGGAGGUGGAAUUCUGGGUGUAGUGGUGAAAUGCGUAGAUAUCCAGAGGAACACCAGUGGCGAAAGCGGCCUCCUGGACCAUUUCUGACGCUAAGACGCGAAAGCUAGGGUAGCAAACGGGAUUAGAUACCCCUGUAGUC
rnacentral:rRNA from 1 species